GACAUUUGUUCUACAGUUUCAAAGAUGGCGGCCUUGUCGCAGUUGCUUUUUUCUGCCAAACAAUACUGAAGAAAUUGAGUUAACCAACUAUUUUUACCAAUUUAUAAAGAAAACUUAUUAGUUUGUAACACAUAAGGCUUGUAUAAUCUUUCUAGUCAUAUUGAUAAUGUGAUAAUAAGUGUACCAAUGGCUUCCAAUAGUUCCAAUGUGCAAGACUCGCCAGUUCAUCAGCAGACGUUUGUGGAGGAGAUUGAUUACAGUGAAAUACAGGAGCUUUCGGUCGUAGGGAAAGGGGCCUUCGGUGUUGUCUGGAAGGGUGUAUGGCGGAACAGAUUUGUAGCGGUAAAGCACAUAAAUUCAGAGGCGGAGAAACGUGAAUUUGCGAUCGAGGUACGCCAGUUAUCUCGCGUAUGUCACCCAAACAUUGUGCGAUUGUACGGAGCGUGCACGCGGGGUGCUCACGUAUGCCUCGUCAUGGAGUAUGCAGAAGGUGGCUCUCUCUAUAAUGUACUACACAACCGACCCAAACCCAAAUACACAGCAGCACAUGCAAUGAGCUGGGCCCGCCAGUGCGCUGAGGGUGUAGCAUACCUUCACUCCAUGAAACCAAAACCAUUAAUACACAGGGAUUUAAAACCACCCAAUCUAUUAUUAGUGGGUGGAGGGCAACGCCUGAAGAUUUGUGAUUUUGGCACAGCAGCUGAUAAGGCAACAUACAUGACGAAUAAUAAAGGCAGUGCUGCUUGGAUGGCUCCUGAGGUAUUUGAAGGAUCAACAUACACAGAAAAAUGUGAUGUGUUCUCAUGGGGGAUAAUACUGUGGGAGGUAUUAUCUAGGAGGAAACCAUUUGAAGAAGGUGGUUCUGCAUAUAGAAUAAUGUGGGCGGUGCAUACAGGUCAAAGACCAAAUCUAAUAGAGGGAUGCCCGGAGCCAAUAGAGCAGCUGAUGACACAAUGUUGGCACAAAAUACCAGCACAAAGACCAAGCAUGGCCAAGGUAACGGAAAUAAUGUCAGCACUAUGCGAGUUCUUUCCGGGUGCUGACACGCCGAUAAACUACGACGACUGCGAGGUGGACGACUCAGAGUGUUCGGAGGAUGAGUGUGGCUCUCGAGACAGCCUCGACACUGACACAGAACACGAUAUACUGUCUCAAGUACACAUCCCCACUCAGUACCCCGACCAUAGCACCUCCGACCCCGUACUCAGGAACAUCGACACCCCGUUACAGCCGUCCAGACCGCGCAGCUACGUCGAGACGCAAGUGAGUAAGCUACAGAACAUAAUGGCCGCUGAGGCGCACCCCAAAACGACGGCACUAUCGAAGGACGAGUCCGACGCCCAUAACAGGGUCGGUGCCAUUAGGAUUCCUCAACACUUUAAAAAGUCUGAAGAUUUUCUGGAAGCCGGAAGAUCGCCGAUCAGCAUCAACAGGACAUCGAGCUCGCCCGUGCCUUCAGAGAGGACCUACGUGCCAAGCGAGGGCAGCACACCCCAGGACUCGUUGCGAGUCAUCAAAAGUCCUGUCGUCUUCAGCGAGAGUUCAUCUCCGCGGAGACUCUCGCCCAUCCCCAAUUACAACAUCGGAAACAUUAAUCCGCGACAUAUAGAUACGGAUCCUUAUUGGAAGAGGGAGGUUGAUAAACUGUCUCCGACCCGAAGUCCUUCGGUCAUGAGUAACUCGAGCUUGCUCAGAAAGGAAGAUUGCAACCAGAAUUAUUAUGACAGAUUGAGCGCCACCAACAGUCCAAUGACACCAGUGAGAGAAUACAAUGGGAACGUAACGCAGAGACCGAUCAAUUCGAGCAUACAAACGCCAUUACAUAUAGACGUGGAUCCUAACACGUGGGAAAUCAUCAAUGCGCCUAUACAUUUUGAUGAUUAUGUUGAAGUGAGGAAUCAUCCUGGUUUCGACAAAUACUACAUCGGCGGUGAGUACGAUCAAAAUAUCCUAGCAACUAAACACAAAAAAUUAAAAAAAAAAUAUUACCGUCUCUGAACUUAUUCUGGUUUGUUUGCGUGCUUAAACAGAUUUAAUAAAAAUAAAAAUAAUUGUAAAUUGUAUAUAAAAUUUUGUAUUUAUAUAAAUGAAAACGUUACGUAUCUUAGACCUUUCUGUGGUGUUUCACAAUACAUCUGUGCUUAAUACAAAAAUAAUAUAUCGAAGACAGUGAAUCACUAGCACCGCGGUAUAAAUAGGUAUGCACGUACAACGUAAUGUGCUCCUCUUAAAUGUUCAGAUCAUGAAUACACUCGAAUAAUGUAUGAGCUCUAAAAUUAUGUUUUGACUAACAAGUCUCAUACAAGAGAAAACUUUUUUUUUUUUGCAAUGUCAUUGACAUAACUCUUUUCUUGUAGCAGCCGAGAUAUACGACCCACGUAACGUGCACAUUAUAUUAUUAAAUAGACUUUGCGAAUUACGGCCGACAACGGUUUGCUUGCGUGCGUGCUGACUUAUCAAGUAAAAAUAACGAGUCGACACAUUAAUUUGUUGAAAACGAACAUUUUUACUUGACCUAAAAGUUUUUCUAAAGUUCAUCUAAAAUUUUGAAAUGUCAUUACUAAACUGAAGGUUUUGAGAUUCUCGGUUUCGUAGCCUCGUUUUAUUUAAUGGAGACUUGUGGUAUAAAGAUCAGUUGUUAAUUAAUUGGAAUCUUGAUACCUUAAAUUUUUAGUUCAAGGAAUAAAACUAAUAUUUCUAGCGAGUAACGCAUGACGUCACUCGUGGCUAAUCUACCACCCGAGCGCGUAAACUUAUGAUGUUUUUUUAAUGUUAAAUUUAAUAUGUUAAAUUCAGGACGCUAAUAAUUAAAAGGCAGCUAAAAAUUCUCAGUGUCCUGUUUUGACUGAUCUUUACGGUUAACAAUUCGUCAUAGACAAUUUAUUUAAUAUAUAGGUCAAUUCUUACACAGACAACUUUUCACACGGGCAACGAUUAACAAAUAAGUUCGAUGCGGUUGGUUCUAAAAAUCUCAUUUAUAAACAAUCAUGCAAUAGUCGGCAUUAAAAAGUAAAUAAAUAUCGAAAAAAGUCUCCACAUAAAAAUCAUUGCUACUAUGAAUUUACCCAGAGCAUCUCUGUCAUUAAAAUACAGGUAUAAGAUAACCAAGGUUAAAUAAACAGAAGGUUCAUGUAUUUCCCUACAAAAACAAGACACGCAGUACUGUUUACUGAUCUGAUCUGUCGUCUAAACCAGUCAGAAUGUAUCAUUGCAUCGCAUGAGUAAUAGCAUCGAAAUAGCUUAGUCCUUUCGCCAGGACAUUGCAUCUGGUCUGAGUCACGUGCGUCAUAGUUUAUUCAUCUUGUACGAUCAAACGAUAAUGUCGUUUUAUUAAUAUUUCAAAUUUAAAUUAGGAAUAGAACGAAAUUUGUUCAAUUUAAAAUCGUUUUCAAAUGAGUGAAAACGUAUUUCCAUUUCUUGUUAUAUUUAUGUAUUAGCAAGAAUGUUAUUAGUGAUUUUUUUGUAUUUUGAUUGUGAAAAAACUAUCUGAAAUGGAAAAUUUAUUUUGUGUCAAAUUGACAUUUAAGUUCAGUGGCUGAAUUUUUGUUGAAGUGUUGUUUUGUGUAACAUCCAAAUACUAGGUCUUUGGUCUGGAUAGUAAUCACUUAAAUAUAUAUGGUUAAUUCAUGUUUGGUUCUGAAAAUACUUGUUUUUUUCUGUGUCUCAAUCUCAGUAGCCACAACACGGCACAAAGAAUCCGCCUUGGAUGAAAUGUGUAAAAUUAUUUAUGUAUUUCUAUCAUAAUUAUUUGUCAGCAAAAAUUCCUCAGCAAAACCUCAUAAUAGCUAAAGUAAUUUAAAAUAUGGAUGUGACGAAAAUUUUACAGGUAACAGCAGUAGCUCAACAGGUGGCGAGGGCGGCGCCCCGGCCUCCGAGCCAGACCCCGCGCUCGAUUCAAUGCACAUGAUGCUCGACCCGCACCUGCGGCCCAUCUCGCCCGAUCUCUCAAACGAA